UACGGGGGGUGCGAGCGUUGUCCGGAAUCACUGGGCGUAAAGGGCGCGUAGGUGGUUUGAUAAGGGUGUGGUGAAAGUCCGGGGCUCAACCCCGGAUCUGCCGUGCCGACUGUCAAACUCGAGGACUGUAGAGGCAGACGGAAUUCCUGGUGUAGCGGUGAAAUGCGCAGAUAUCAGGAGGAACACCGGUGGCGAAGGCGGUUCUCUGGGAAUGUUCUGACGCUGAGGAGCGAAAGUGUGGGGAGCGAACAGG
rnacentral:rRNA from 1 species